AUACGUAGGGUGCAAGCGUUAAUCGGAAUUACUGGGCGUAAAGCGUGCGCAGGCGGUUUUGUAAGACAGAGGUGAAAUCCCCGGGCUCAACCUGGGAACUGCCAUUGUGACUGCAAGGCUGGAGUGCGGCAGAGGGGGAUGGAAUUUCGCGUGUAGCAGUGAAAUGCGUAGAUAUGCGGAGGAACACCGAUGGCGAAGGCAAUCCCCUGGGCCUGCACUGACGCUCAUGCACGAAAGCGUGGGGAGCAAACAGGAUUAGAUACCCUGGUAGUCCACGCCCUAAACGAUGUCAACUGGUUGUUGGGGAUUUAUUUUCUCAGUAACGAAGCUAACGCGUGAAGUUGACCGCCUGGGGAGUACGGCCGCAAGGUUAAAACUCAAAUGAAUUGACGGGG
rnacentral:rRNA from 1 species